rnacentral:rRNA from 1 species
CGUCUAUAUACGUAUAGCAUAUCAAUAAGCGGAGGAAAAGAAACUAACAAGGAUUCCCAUAGUAACGGCGAGUGAAGCGGGAAGAGCUCAAAUUUGAAAUCUUCAAGGUUCUACCUUGACGAAUUGUAGUUUAAAGAAGUGUUUUCUGUUAGAGGAGUAGCAGAAGUUCCUUGGAAUGGGACAUCAUAGAGGGUGAGAAUCCCGUAUUUGGUUAUUCUUUCUAGCUUUGUGAUACACUUUCAAAGAGUCGGAUUGUUUGGGAAUGCAGUCCAAAAUGGGUGGUAAAUUUCAUCUAAAGCUAAAUAUUGGCGAGAGACCGAUAGCGAACAAGUACCGUGAGGGAAAGAUGAAAAGAACUUUGAAAAGAGAGUUAAACAGUACGUGAAAUUGUCAAAAGGGAAGCGUUUGACACCAGUGUUGUUUUUCCGAAAAUCAAUUAAGAGUGGCUUGAUUUUGUGUUGUAUUGACCUUAUCAGCUUUCUUCACUCUUUUUCGAGUCUUUCUUAAUGCACUUUUCGGUUAACAAGUCAACAUCAAUUUCUUUUGUUGUAAAAGGGUAUUUGGAAGGUGGCUUUCUUUUCGGAGAAAGUGUUUAUAGCCUUAUACCUCUACAAUCGGAGAGAUUGAGGUCUGCAGCGUAGAUCCUUCGGGGCUAGAUACACUUGUGCUAAGUUAUAGCUUUUCAUAGACAACUUGUUGACUAUGUUUAGUCAUGUAGCUUACCCGCUUGUGCUAUUUUACCUACGCUUAGGAUGUUGAGUCAUCACACAUCUCU